rnacentral:lncRNA from 1 species
CAGCAGUGUCCUUAGUUGGUUCUGAAGGGCAUUUUGCACAGUGUUUAGCAAUGAUUUGGGCCAUAUUACUUCUCAUUCUCCAAGUCUGGUCCUCCAAGUUUUUAGGCAAUUUUGUAUUUAUUUUCUGCUAUAAUCAGCCCAAACCCAUUUCUUUUGCUCUGGAACUUAGAAGUGAUCUAGUCAACUUACAUGGUAAGCAAUCAUCUAUAGCAAAAAUUUAGAGUAAAAUUAGACCAAGAUUGAUUGAACAUUCAUGUUUCAAACUGCAGAAAAUCUUGGAGUUUUUUUAGACAAUAAUAUUAAUGUUACUACUGCUAAUAAAAGAUAGCUUUAUUGAGAAACUACUGUAUGUCAUGAUCUGUAUUAAGCCUUUAUAUGAAAAAAAAAAGCCUUUAUAUGCAUUAUUUCCUGUAAUUCAAGGAAGAUAUAGGAACUCAAAUCUGAUGAAAAUAAGCCAGAUGAAAAAACAUGGCCUAUAAUCUAGUGGAGGAGGAGGAGGAUGAUGACGAUGACAAUGAUGAAGAUUAUGAUGACAAUGAUGUUGGUAAUGAUGAUAAUGAUGGCAAUGACAAUGAUGAUGACAAUGACAAUAAUGAUGAUUAUGAUGAUGACAGUGAUGUUGACAAUGAUGAUGAUGACAACAUCUGGAAUGUGGAGAAUCACAGUUAGGGUCAACCGCCUAUAUAACAGAGCUUGUUUGAAGUGUCUCAAGUCCCAGGCUCUAAUGGACCCCAACUCUGAUAAAUCACCUUCAUGCUCAGAAGGAAAGAUAAGACUUAUGCAACUAUUGCUUAUAGUGAUAACCUCUACAUCUCCUGGAAUUAGCCUCAACUUAGUGACCUGGAAUCAAUCACCUAGUGCCAUGUCUGUCAUCGUUUAUGACCAACAAAAUCACUCGCAUGUGACCCUAAAGGGGUUCUUCAAGGCUUUCAGAUCAUAUGGGAUGAUGCUUCAGUGCCCUGAGGAUGGUGAGGCAUGGACUUUGGGGUCUAAACCACCUACCGUGAAAUAUUGCAUCUUUUCCUUCCAUCUAUAUAUUUUCCUCACUCGUAAAAUGAAGACAAUAAUUUCUACAUCAGAGGGCACCAUGAAGCCCCAAUGAAAUAAUAAAUGUAACAUCAUGAAGCCCUGUUUCUAGUAU